rnacentral:rRNA from 1 species
GAUGAACGCUGGCGGUGUGCCUAAUACAUGCAAGUCGAGCGAACAGACGAGGAGCUUACUCCUCUGACGUUAGCGGCGGACGGGUGAGUAACACGUGGAUAACCUACCUAUAAGACUGGGAUAACUUCGGGAAACCGGAGCUAAUACCGGAUAACAUGUUGAACCGCAUGGUUCAACAGUGAAAGACGGUCUUGCUGUCACUUAUAGAUGGAUCCGCGUCGCAUUAGCUAGUUGGUAAGGUAACGGCUUACCAAGGCAACGAUGCGUAGCCGACCUGAGAGGGUGGUCGGCCACACUGGAACUGAGACACGGUCCAGACUCCUACGGGAGGCAGCAGUAGGGAAUCUUCCGCAAUGGGCGAAAGCCUGACGGAGCAACGCCGCGUGAGUGAAGAAGGUCUUCGGAUCGUAAAACUCUGUUAUUAGGGAAGAACAAAUGUGUAAGUAACUAUGCACGUCUUGACGGUACCUAAUCAGAAAGCCACGGCUAACUACGUG